rnacentral:rRNA from 1 species
UACAGAGGGUGCGAGCGUUAAUCGGAAUUACUGGGCGUAAAGAGUGCGUAGGCGGAUUUUUAAGUCAGUUGUGAAAUCCCCGGGCUCAACCUGGGAACUGCAUCUGUGACUGCAUCGCUGGAGUACGGUAGAGGGGGAUGGAAUUCCGCGUGUAGCAGUGAAAUGCGUAGAUAUGCGGAGGAACACCGAUGGCGAAGGCAAUCCCCUGGACCUGUACUGACGCUCAUGCACGAAAGCGUGGGGAGCAAACAGGAUU